ensembl:lncRNA
GGGGGGUGGGGGGGGAUUUAUGAGUGUGAGGCCAGCUGAUUUAUGGGGUGUGUGUGGGGGGGGGGCGGGCGGUGCAGUCAGUGUGGUUAAGGGUAGUGCAGCAGCGGAAAUUGCAGAAAAUGCACCAAGGAACGCUAACACACACACACUCAUUCACCCACACAUGUUCACAAACACACUCACUCACAUGCUCACCAUCAGAGUAUGCUCGCCAUUAAAAAAGGUUGAGUAUACACACUUUAAAAGCAAUUUGAAUGUAUUCAAUAAGACUGCACUCGGUGAAUGCCUAGAAAAGCCAUAGUUGGAGUACUGUUGUCAGUACUAGUAUUAGCAUUGGUUUAGCCAGACACAGAGGCUGUGUUACGUGAUUCAGUUAGCAUUAGCAUUGGUUGAGUUUGACACAGAGGCCAUGUUAAAGGAUCAGUUAGCAUUAGCAUUACCAUUGGUUUAGCCAGACACAGAGGCCAUGUUACAUGAUACAGUUAGCAUUAGCAUUGGUUUAGACAGACACAGAGGCCAUGUUACGUGAUUCAGUUAGCAUUAGCAUUAGCAUUGGUUGAAUUUGACACAGAGGCCAUAUUACAUGAUUCAGUUAGCAUUACCAUUGGUUUAAUCAGACACAGAGGCCAUGUUACGUGAUUCAGUUAGCAUUACCAUUGGUUUAGCCAGACACAGAGGCCAUGUUACGUGAUUCAGUUAGCAUUAGCAUUAGCAUUGGUUUAGCCAGACACAGAGGCCAUAUUAAAGGAUUCAGUUAGCAUUAGCAUUGGUUUAUCCAGACACAGAGGCCAUAUUAAAGGAUUCAGUUAGCAUUAGCAUUGGUUUAGCCAGACACAGAGGCCAUAUUAAAGGAUUCAGUUAUCAUUAGCAUUGGUUUAGGCAGACACAGAGGCCAUAUUAAAGGAUUCAGUUAGCGUUAGCAUUAGCAUUGGUUUAGCCAGACACAGAGGUCAUAUUAAAGGAUUCAGUUAGCCUUAGCAUUAGCAUUGGUUUAGCCAGACACAGAGGCCGUAUUACAUGACUCAGUUAGCAUUAGCAUUAGCAUUGGUUAAGUCAGACACAGAGGCCAUGUUAUGUGAUUCAGUUAGCAUUAGCAUUGGUUUAGCCAGACACAGAGGCCAUAUUAAAGGAUUCGUCUCCUCUCCCCUCCCCCACACUUUAUGAUGGCGUGACACUGAGACCUCAUGUCCUUAACGAGGUGUAAAACCUGUGAUGUGUGAUAAAGAGAUGCAAUCUGUGUUAGUGGGAUGUGAUGUGUGUUAAUUAGUGUCCAGAGGUCUCCUGUCAUGGCUUUACUUCGAGACACACAGUGGGCACACACAUACACACACACACACACACACACCCUCUGUCCAUGCAGCUGUCUUUUCUUUCUUCUUAUUUUAUUUCUUUUGAUUACUUUUUGAAUAAUAGCAUUUUUGUUUUGGGGUUUGUGUUCAGCUUCAGAGUACGGCAAAG